CGGAGGGCUAGCGUUGUUCGGAAUUACUGGGCGUAAAGCGUACGUAGGCGGCUUUGUAAGUUAGAGGUGAAAGCCCGGGCUCAACUCCGGAAUUGCCUUUAAGACUGCAUCGCUUGAUCACGGGAGAGGUGAGUGGAAUUCCGAGUGUAGAGGUGAAAUUCGUAGAUAUUCGGAAGAACACCAGUGGCGAAGGCGGCUCACUGGACCGUAGAUGACGCUGAGGUACGAAAGCGUGGGGAGCAAACAGGAUU
rnacentral:rRNA from 1 species